rnacentral:lncRNA from 1 species
AAUCACCUUCGGCAUCACCAAAAAUCUCAUAUCCAGAGAAACCAUCAUCCACAAGGGUAGCGGUCGGAAGGGGAACUUUGUCACGGACUUUAUUUUCCUCGACUUUAUUCUUAUCGCGUACUACUUUCUUGUAUUUUGGAAGUUUGAACCACCCUUCCGUAAACAAAGGCAGUUGAUUCAGAUUCUUCAGAAACGAUGAGCUUUUCUUUGAAGCAUCAACUGGCUUUUUCUUCUCACUUUUACCCAGCAAUGCCAUAGCAAUGGCACUGGUUAUGAAAAGCUGGCAAAUUGCGCAUUUGAUUUGUUCAUGCCUCUCGAAAGACGACGACUGUGUAAGGCCAAUCAUGGUCUUGACCCUAAGAACUCUGCGU